AAUCUGCCUCUAGGUCGGGGACAACAAUUGGAAACGAUUGCUAAUACCCGAUGUGCAGCAAUGUGAAAGAUUUAUUGCCUAGAGAUGAGCUCGCGUCUGAUUAGCUAGUAGGUGUGGUAAUGGCGCACCUAGGCGACGAUCAGUAACUGGUCUGAGAGGAUGACCAGUCACACUGGGACUGAGACACGGCCCAGACUCCUACGGGAGGCAGCAGUGGGGAAUUUUCCGCAAUGGGCGAAAGCCUGACGGAGCAAUACCGCGUGAGG
rnacentral:rRNA from 1 species